rnacentral:tRNA from 1 species
GGUGGAAUAGCUCAAGUGGUAGAGCACCUGGCUAGCAAGCAUGAGGUUCCCGAGUUCAAAUGUCAGUACCACCA